AGUCGAGCGGAUGACGGGAGCUUGCUCCUGGAUUCAGCGGCGGACGGGUGAGUAAUGCCUAAGAAUCUGCCUGGUAGUGGGGGACAACGUUUCGAAAGGAACGCUAAUACCGCAUACGUCCUACGGGAGAAAGCAGGGGACCUUCGGGCCUUGCGCUAUCAGAUGAGCCUAGGUCGGAUUAGCUUGUUGGUGAGGUAAUGGCUCACCAAGGCGACGAUCCGUAACUGGUCUGAGAGGAUGAUCAGUCACACUGGAACUGAGACACGGUCCAGACUCCUACGGGAGGCAGCAGUGGGGAAUAUUGGACAAUGGGCGAAAGCCUGAUCCAGCCAUGCCGCGUGUGUGAAGAAGGUCUUCGGAUUGUAAAGCACUUUAAGUUGGGAGGAAGGGUUGUAGAUUAAUACUCUGCAAUUUUGACGUUACCGACAGAAUAAGCACCGGCUAACUCUGUGCCAGCACCCGCGGU
rnacentral:rRNA from 1 species